CACUAUUCCCUCUGUGAGUCUCCAUGUGUGAGGUUGUUUUCAGUGCCUAGCCUGAUAUUUGUUUGUAACAUGAAUAUAAACCCAGAGACAGAGAUGUUGGGGCUCAAGCUUCAAGCUGAAGCUCAGAAAAGCAAAGCAGCCAGCCACUAGCUCUUACUAAGCCUGAAAUGGCCAUCCUGCCUCCACAAAUUAUCAGACUGCAAUGCAGACCGCACUGCUCUCCACUGAGCCUCAGACUGCAAUUGCUCAGUUCCUGUUUCCUCCUGCCUUAUAUUCCAGCCAUAUCAUCCUAUUUCCAGCUUCCGAGUUCUGGGAUUAAAGUUCUUGGGCACCAGACCAAUAAAAUGGGCAGGAACCCAUGCUAUUUGCAGAGGAAAAUGGGGCGAAAAGCACUUCCGGCGUACAUUGUCCAUAUAAAUUAUACUUGUUUGCAAUUCAUCGACUCAUUCUUUCUUUUAUAUCCAUAUGUAAUGUAAACGAUCAUCUUUCUCUGAAGCUCAAUAAUGAUGCACAACUCAAAAUGUGAUAGAAUCAGCUAAAAGAAAGCAGAUGGAAGAUUUUUUCCUCUAUAUGCAUAUUCAUAAGAAUACAGAGAACUCAACAAAAGGAGAUACAUAAGAGCUCAUACCCGGAGGCUACAUGGACUUAUGUAUGGCAGUAACUUGUUUUUCUGCAACUGUUUGUUCUUCAAACCUUUACUCAUUUCUUCCUGAAGCAGUCACUAAAAAUGCACUGGGAAAAAAAACUGCUUCCCUCUAUACAAACAAACAUAUCCCCCUUUGAAUUUUUAUUAUACCUUUGGAUUCAAGAUUCAGGAAGUAAUAUUUGUGUACUUUACUAGAGACCACAAUUAGAAAGCAAACCGCACACCAAAGUGAGAUCUUAAGGGCUGCUUUAGCAAUGCAAGCUACAGACAUUUCCAAUCACACUAUUAUGUGACCCCCCCCCAAAAAAAAAUGAUAGAAAAUAAUAGUGAACUGCCUGGAUCAUGUUUGUCUCUGUUUUUAAAUGUCUAUAAUUAAUUAGAGAUGAAGGAAGUUCAUUUGUUGUACCUA
rnacentral:lncRNA from 1 species